rnacentral:rRNA from 1 species
AGCGAACGCUGGCGGUAGGCCUAACACAUGCAAGUCGAACGGCAGCACACUACGAGCUUGCUCUUAUGGGUGGCGAGUGGCGUACGGGUGACGUAUACAUCGUAAUCUACUUUUUCGUGGGGGUUAACGUAGGUAAACUUACUCUAAUACCGCAUCCGCCCUUCCGUUGAAAGCAGGGGAUCUUCUGACCUUGCGCGAUUGAAUGAGCCGAUGUCGGAUUAGCUAGUUGGCGGGGUAAAUGCCCACCCAGGCGACGAUCCGUAGCUGGUCUGAGAGGAUGAUCAGCCGCACUGGAACGGAGACACGGUCCAGAGGCAUACGGGAGGCAGCAGGGGGGAAUAUUGGGCAAGGGGCGAGAGCCUGAUCAAGACGGACCGAGUGGGUGGAGAAGGCCUUCGGGUUGGAAAGCCCGUUUGUUGGGAAAGAAAAGCAGCAGGUUAAUACCGAGCUGUUCUGACGGUACACAAAGAAUAAGCACCGGCUAAAUUCGUG